GAGUUUGAUCAUGGCUCAGGAUGAACGCUGGCGGCGUGCUUAACACAUGCAAGUCGAACGAGGCACUCAGGAGCGAUUUCGGUCAAUCCUGUUUGACUGAGUGGCGGACGGGUGAGUAACGCGUGAGUAACCUACCUCGCAGUGGGGAAUAACAGUUGGAAACGACUGCUAAUACCGCAUAAUGCAGAGAGACCGCAUGAUCUUUCUGCCAAAGAUUUAUCGCUGUGAGAUGGACUCGCGUCUGAUUAGCUAGUUGGUGAGGUAACGGCUCACCAAGGCGACGAUCAGUAGCCGGACUGAGAGGUUGACCGGCCACAUUGGGACUGAGACACGGCCCAGACUCCUACGGGAGGCAGCAGUGGGAAUAUUGGGCAAUGGGCGCAAGCCUGACCCAG
rnacentral:rRNA from 1 species